UCGCAUCUGUGCAUGCAGCAUAUCAAUAAGCGGAGGAAAAGAAACUAACAAGGAUUCCCCUAGUAACGGCGAGUGAAGCGGGAAGAGCUCAAAUUUGAAAUCUUCAAGGUUUUCCCUUGACGAAUUGUAGUUUAAAGAAGUGUUUUCUGUUGAAGUUUUGGUAAAAGUUCUUUGGAAUAGGACAUCAUAGAGGGUGAGAAUCCCGUAUUUGACCAUUACUUUCAGCUGUGUGAUACACUUUCAAAGAGUCGGAUUGUUUGGGAAUGCAGUCCAAAAUGGGUGGUAAAUUUCAUCUAAAGCUAAAUAUUGGCGAGAGACCGAUAGCGAACAAGUACCGUGAGGGAAAGAUGAAAAGAACUUUGAAAAGAGAGUUAAACAGUACGUGAAAUUGUCAAAGGGAAGCGUUUGACACCAGUGUUGUUUUUCUGAAAAUCAAUUAGAGAACUGUUUAUGCUAAGCUGUUUAGACUUUAUCAGCUAUCUGUUUAGUUUUGAGCUUUUCUUUAAUGCACUUUUCAGUUAACAAGUCGACAUCAAUUUCUUUUGCUGUAAAAAAGCUUGAGGAAGGUGGCUUGAGAUUCGUCUUAAGUGUUUAUAGCCUCUUGCCUAUGCAGUCGGAGAGAUUGAGGUCUGCAGCGUAGAUCCUUCGGGGCUAAAUGCAUUUGUGCUAAGUUAUAGCAUUUUAUAGACAACUUGUUGACUAUGAUUUGUCUUGUAGCUUACUCGCUUAUGUUAUUUUACCUACGCUUAGGAUGUUGAUAUGCAUGACUGAUAU
rnacentral:rRNA from 1 species